ACGGGGUGCAGCAGGCGCGAAACCUCCGCAAUGUGAGAAAUCGCGACGGGGGGAUCCCAAGUGCCAUUCUUAACGGGAUGGCUUUUCAUUAGUGUAAAGAGCUUAUGGAAUAAGAGCUGGGCAAGACCGGUGCCUGCCGCCGCGGUAAU
rnacentral:rRNA from 1 species